GAGGGUACAGCUCAAGUGGUAGAGCGUAUGCUUAGCAAGCAUGAGGUCCUAGGUUCAAUCCCCAGUACCUCCU
rfam:Camelus ferus unplaced genomic scaffold scaffold1030, whole genome shotgun sequence.